rnacentral:misc_RNA from 1 species
AAGUCGUAACAAGGUAACCGUAGGUGAACCUGCGGUUGGAUCAUUACCAAGAUGAACGAAGCGCAGGCCGUGAUCUCACCCGAGCCUGAUUCUUUUAGGCUGGGGUGAGGCCACGGUGUGCGUGCUUAGUUCAAAACUUCAUGUGCACCAAAACCGCUUUAUAUUAUUUGUUUGAUUGUAUCUCGUUUUGCCGCUUGGCUUUGCCUGGCGGUCUAACAAAAACAACUUUUGACAACGGAUCUCUUGGCUCUC